rnacentral:tRNA from 1 species
CCGAGUGUAGCUCAGCUGGUAGAGCGAUUGACUGUAGUGUUCUAUACUGUGUUUCAGUAUUCUCGGAAAUCAAUUGGUCGCUGGUUCGAUUCCGACCACUCGGA